UUCAAUGAAAGGGGACAGAAAUACUCACAAGAACAUCAUCAUACAAGGGCGAACUUAUACAUCACAUUUAGCUAUCAUCAUCCUUGGAACUCUUGCAUUUUCUGUUUACUUUUCUUUAAAACUCAUUUAGUUUGAAGUCCGAAUCUGUUCAUAACGAGAGAGUAGAUUCAAAACCGAUGACCUAGGUUCACUGCCCCGCAACAGGUGAUAUUCACCUUCCCAUUCUCUCUGUUUCUUCAUUACCGUGUUAAAAUGUCUGCUCUCUUUGUUUCUCUAUUACUGUAUUAAACGUGAUGCUUAUUUGGAGAAGGUUAUGUAUAUAUAAAAUGAUCUCUGCUGGCUUUAGUCAUAAUAACAGUGUGGUUGGUUUUAGGAUUACAUAUUUACAUGAAUUUAGUUGUUUGUUGUUUUAAUAUUUAUCUGGUGAUUUUAUAAUAAUAAGGAAUUUGUAGUUUAUUUUAUUUUUUCCUAAACAGAAGCUUGUUUUAAAAGGAUUUUCAUCAUUUUUCUUCGUUAUAGAUCACGUCUUUUGAUAUCAUUUUAGCUCUGUUUCAUGUUUGCGAGAACACUAUCUUAGACCUUUGGUGCAUAUUUGGUUAACAUAAGCUUGUGUAUAAGUUGUCAUUUUUAAGAGAAUGUCAUAAAAUUCGCCAAGACUCAUGCAUUAUAUUCCAUUGUUCAUGCUUAACAAAAAUGAUAUUUCGUUAAAAAUAUAAAUUUGCUGCGUUUGAGAUUUAACUUGUGCUGAAAAUAGUUUAUUAUGAUUUAACUAUUGUUAGUUAGUUUAAGAAAAAAAAUCAUCAAUGCUAAAUGAAUGUCUCGUUUAGGUGUUUGUAUAUUUCUUGUUCCAAAUAGUAUAUAUGAUGUAUAGUUCUACUUGAUCUUAUAUCUAAUUUAUUUAAUAUGACUUAAAGUCGAAUUGUUUUACUAAUCUCUUUACUCUCGUUUUAUUUGCAUGAACUUUUCCGGAGCAAAAAUAGAGUCUUCAUUCGGGACUCUAGCAAAAUUCGAGUCUCAUGACUCAACACCAUCAUACCCGCACAUGGAGUCUAUGAUAUCUCAAACUAUCUAAGUAGCAAACCAAGCAAAUUUACCUGGGACUAUCUUCUAUAGUUUAUAUUUUAGCAUUAUUUAUUUCUAUGUGUUUUCCUUUACAUGUUUAACUUGUGUGAUUUGGAUAUGUUUUAAUUUUGUUUUUUUUCAUGAAUGACUAACGUAGAAGAAAUGAGC
rnacentral:lncRNA from 1 species